CUGGUUGGAAAAAACUCACAACUAGUAGUAAACAGCAGCUGAAGAUUCGGGAACAUCAACAGGUGAACCAGCCCCGGAACUGAGAGAAGCAGCUGGAGAGAACCUUUCUGAUCCAGAGUUUCUAUCAAUUCUGUUGGAAGAAAGCUUGAGAAGAUGGGGCCGUUUUUGAACCGAUUUUCCCACCGACGAGUGAAGCGGCUUCCUGCGGCCGGAGCAGAGCACCGGAAUUUGGUACCAUCAUGGCUGAAGGUAUCGGCUGUGGAGGAUAUGCAGUUACCAGGUCAAGGAAACACGCAGGUAGGAAAUUAACUCGUAUACAGAAAGUUUACAAGAGAAUUUUGCCAGUUGGAUCAUCAAGGGAAGAUGAUCAGGACACAGGAACUACGACACCAAAGCAAGGCCGGAUUGAGGGCAGUGUCCCAAUGGAAUGUGCGCUGACCUUGGAGGAAAGGGAAGGAGUCAGCCCAGCGGGAGUUGGAUCAGAGACACGAUUCAGGGCCAUGGAACCGGCCCAAUUGAGGCGAUUGCCUGUGA